CAUUACUGAGAUAGGGUCCUUCGGGGCCCGACCUCCCACCCUUUGUGUAUAUACCUCUGUUGCUUCGGCGGUUUCCCGGGACCUUAGGUCGGGGUGCCUUCAAUUGGCCGCUCGUCGCCGGUCCCGGCCCGUCGGAGGCUCGAUAAAUUCUGAUUGUUAGUGACGUCUGAGUAACCCCCGAAUGAAUGAAAACUUUCAACAACGGAUCUCUUGGCUCUGGCAUCGAUGAAGAACGCAGCGAAAUGCGAUAAGUAAUGUGAAUUGCAGAAUUCAGUGAAUCAUCGAAUCUUUGAACGCACAUUGCGCCCUCUGGUAUUCCGGGGGGCAUGCCUGUUCGAGCGUCAUUUCACCUCUCAAGCUCAGCUUGGUAUUGGGCUGUCGUCCCCUAGGGGCGGGCCUGAAAAUCAGUGGCGGUGUAGCCGGUGCUCAAGCGUAGUAAUAUCGUUAACCCCGCUUUGGAGUCACCGGGUGGACCUGCCAGAUAACCCCCUCUUUAUUGCAAUG
rnacentral:rRNA from 1 species